AUUAGUAUGCAUCAUGCUCACCAACACUGUCAUAUAAACUGAAAUUUAUUUCAUAUCUCCUUGGACUGCAUUGGGGUUUGGAUAAUCUCGCGGGAUUGAUUGAUCUACUCAUCCCAUCAAGGGAUGAGUUAGACACUUCUGCCCACUACGAAAAGAAAUAAGUACGUCAAGAAAACUUUUGAGUGCAAUGUUUGAUCGUCGCAUUGCAAUAUAGAGUUGGAAGUUUCAAAGGCUUCAGGAAACAUUAAUGAAUUGAAUACCUUUUCUUUGUGUACCUUUCUCUUAUGUCUUUGCUUAGAUCUGACUAUCCUUUGCCUUUGCCACAUGGAUUACUU
rnacentral:lncRNA from 1 species